rnacentral:rRNA from 1 species
UGGGGAAUAUUGCACAAUGGGCGCAAGCCUGAUGCAGCAACGCCGCGUGAGGGACGACGGCCUUCGGGUUGUAAACCUCUUUUAGCAGGGAAGAAGCGAAAGUGACGGUACCUGCAGAAAAAGCACCGGCUAACUACGUGCCAGCAGCCGCGGUAAUACGUAGGGUGCAAGCGUUAUCCGGAAUUAUUGGGCGUAAAGAGCUCGUAGGCGGUUUGUCGCGUCUGCUGUGAAAACCCGAGGCUCAACCUCGGGCCUGCAGUGGGUACGGGCAGACUAGAGUGCGGUAGGGGAGAUUGGAAUUCCUGGUGUAGCGGUGGAAUGCGCAGAUAUCAGGAGGAACACCGAUGGCGAAGGCAGAUCUCUGGGCCGUAACUGACGCUGAGGAGCGAAAGGGUGGGGAGCAAACA